rnacentral:tRNA from 1 species
UCUGCCCGUAGCUCAGUUGGAUAGAGCAUCGGCCUUCUAAGCCGAGGGUCGGGGGUUCGAACCCCUCCGGGCAGGCC